GGACAUUCGGACUCUGCUUCCAGCUUUGACUGACUUGUGAUUUGAUCUCUCUUACUAAAUUCCUCUACAUUAUGAACUCCCAUUUUAUAAGAGAGGCAAAAGAGGGAUGGAGCUCGCAGCAGCAGGCUUUUUCACCAGACACUCCUUGGAGCUUUGCUGGCUGUGACUAUCAACUGUGGCUGAACUACAUAUCCCGUGACCUGGUCCCCUCUCUCCUCUGGCAGCAAGAGUAGAUCAUUACAAUUAGAAGUCAGUCCAGAUUCCUUGUUUCUGUAAUACCUAUGACUCUUGUAUCAGAACUACAGCACUAUUUGAAAAGGUUUAUUGAUAACGAAUAACUGUCAGAGAUUAUCCUUUUAGCUCGAAUACUAAAAUAUUGCAUUUUAAACAAUUACCGAUUUUUUUCUUUCUUACUCUACCACUAAGUGUUCUACAGACAACAGUUUAGUUACAGCUAUGUUACUAUCAUAUGGCUCUUAUCAAUUCACAUUUAUAACACAAGGAUUUAUUUUUAAUAAACAGAAAAUUUCUGAAUAUUUUGUAAAUUAAAAUUCUGAGAUACAGGAACAACCUACCUUUAACAAUUCUUUGCGCAUCUCUAAGUUCAAUUAAAUCACACUACAGCAAAACGUUUCAAGUGUGCAAAUUCUGACAGUGACUUCUGCAAGACAUUUUAUUCUGAAAUAAACAAAGCCAUCACUAUUUGAAAAAAUCAAUCUCAGUGGAAGCCUACAGAGAAAAAACCUAACACCUGAUUUUCAGAAGUGAGGGAAAAUUAAAACUGGUAAAAUUAUUUGUCUCCCUAUAUUCCUAAGGGAGACAUUUUGUCAGCUUCCAAGGAACAUACUCGUUUCACUGGCUGCAUGAAGCAAGCAGUGCAGAUUUAGGGGACAGAGAACUUCAUGCUGUGAGUUUUAUUGUUUUGCUACAGGUUCAGUGUAGCAAAGUAGGUCUAGAAACACAGCAAUGUCACAUAGAAAGAAAAAAAUAAAUGCCAAGCUGCAGUGUCUCUUCAGGACUGAGUUCACGUUUCUACACGUAGAUUCAAUUUUUAUAUAAAACAGUCACUAAACUUACCUGCAGUGAAACCCAUUAUGACUGGAUUACUGCCUCCUAAAUGUGAUCUGCAGAUUGUGGUCUGUCAGAUAU